rnacentral:lncRNA from 1 species
UUGUGAGCCAAUGGGCAACAUUUGCUUUUCUUCUUAUCAUUAUCAUAUAUAUUACUUGAAGAUGGUAUGUGAAAGUUUUCUCUGCUAAUGAAUGUGGUUUCUUGCAGGGGGCAGGUGGUGGUGCUGGUUGCUUUCUGAGAGCUACAGCCAUUGUUGCGAUUCCAGGAGAGGGGGGUAUGAUACAUCCUCUGAGCAGCAUGUGAGAGGUUUAGAAGAUGAAGUGAACACAUCCUUGGAAAACAUUGGCUCGUGAUGUGGGAGUUACAGACAGAAGAAAGAGAGCGAAAGAGCAGCUCCGUGCACACAGGUGUGAGGAGAUGAAAAACCUCUGGACUGCCUUUUUCCAUUAUUUAUCCACCCUUUAGAGCUGGCCUG